GGAGAGAUGGCUGAGCAGACCAAAGCGACGGAUUGCUAAUCUGUAGUACGGAUUAUCCAUACUGAUGGUUCGAAUCCCUCUCUCUCCG
rnacentral:tRNA from 1 species